CGGUUAAAAAGCUCGUAGUUGGAUCUCGGCAAGUAGAGGGCGGUAUGCUUCGUAGCAUUACUGCCCUAUUACUUGUAGUUUUGCCAGAGGUUCCUGGGUGCUCUUAAUCGAGUGUCUAGGGAUGCUGGCAGGUUUACUUUGAAAAAAUUAGAGUGCUCAAAGCAGGCUAUUACGCUUGAAUAUUCGUGCAUGGAAUAAUAGAAUAGGAAGUUGUUUCUAUUUUGUUGGUUUUCGGAAAUCGACUUAAUGAUUAAUAGGGACAGUCGGGGGCAUUUGUAUUCAAACGACAGAGGUGAAAUUCUUGGACCGUUUGAAGACAAACUACUGCGAAAGCAUUUGCCAAGAAUGUUUUCAUUAAUCAAGAACGAAAGUUAGAGGUUCGAAGGCGAUUAGAUACCGCCCUAGUUCUAACCAUAAACGAUGCCAGCUAGCGAUCUGAGGACGUUUUUUUUGUAGACUCCUCAGGAAGCUUCCGGGAAACCAAAGCAUUUGGGUUCCAGGGGAAGUAUGGUUGCAAAGCUGAAACUUAAAAGGAAUUGACGGAAGGGCACCACCAGGAGUGGAGCCUGUGGCUUAAUUUGACUCAGCACGGGAAAUCUCACCAGGCCCGGACACUGGAAAGAUUGACAGAUUGAUAGCUCUUUCUUGAUUCGGUGGGUGGU
rnacentral:rRNA from 1 species